UUUUUUUUUUUUUGGAGGGACGGGUUUCUGAGAAUGUCACUUUUUGUCCUUUGCAUCAUGUCUCUGGAAAUACCUUUUUGUCCAUCGUGGUGGUGGUCUCGCACUCUCUCUCUUUCUCUCAUUCUCUUUCUCUCUCUCUUUCUUUCUUUUUUUCUUCUUUUCCUGGUAGCAGGCCUCCAUAGAACAAAUUUAAAACACACAACUGGCAUGGAAAUGUAAGGAGAGCUUCAGUGGCACCUCACCACCCCCCUCCGAGAUCUGUCCUAAGACAUAAGACAGUCUCAGAAAGCUGCACUGCCCACCCCCCGGCACAGCUUUCAUUCAAAUCAGCUUCCAAGGCCAAUUUCGUCCUGAAGUCAAUGCAUGUAUUUACUGUUUGACAGUAAACCCGCUCUGCCUUCUCCACGUCCAAGGCUGUGCAUUCGUCUAAUUAGUGUCGUGUAUGUUUUCCUUUUAUUUUUUCCAAUAAAAAAGCAGUGGGAUGAAAAUUGCUUUGAUAUAUAGCAGGUAACAUUGAAGCUAUUCCAUAGCACUUAACUGUAGUGAAUACUGUGUCACCAAUUCUGAAAUCAAUUUAAUGUUUAAUGCAAAUCCAUUACAUGGUGCUAUUACAGGCUGACAAAAUGAUUUACACAAAUGUGACAACUUGGGCUCAAUUCACUCUGCUUUCCAACAGUGUAAAUGCAUGAGAACUAUGCACUAAUCUAUCUGAAGACAAAACUAUAUCAACUUUGGUAUCUACUCUCCGUUUACUUCAAUCCUUGCCUUUUUGGUCAUUGUUAUAAUGCCAGCUUUAGGACAGAAAGAAUUAUAAGAAAACCAGCAUAAUACCUGAUAUAUUAAAAUGUAGUGCCUGUGAAAUCUGUAUUAUAUUGCUCUUCUGAAGUAAGAUUUUUCUACACCGGUAGCCUUCGCUGUCUGUCAGUCAGGACCUUCUGGUAUAAGUGAUGUAAGAUAACCGUACAAUAUUAAUGCAUGCUAUUCCAUAAUGCUUAGUGAACUGUAUGAAUAUUACUCAGAAUUAUGUUAGUCUUUUUUUCUGACUUGGUUCUUGUCAGCUAGGUUUAAAGGUAUUUCACUGAGAACGCAAAUUCUGUCUUUUCUUGAUUUCAGCUGUUUUCAGUAUUUUGGAGGUAUACAUUUACUUAAAUUCAUCCCUGGCAAGACUUGUGUCUCAAAUCGACCAUUGGAAUUUCAAGAACUGCUCUGAAGACACCGAGAACCUUUCCAGAUGAGGGACAUUUUCCUUCACCCUCAACGGAAGCUUUGCUGAUCCUGAGGGGGUUUCUUAAUGGACAGUGUUCAGCCAGGUACCCAUGCUUGAUCCGUCUUCACACCAGACUUCCUCAUAUUAAAAGGAAAAAAAAAACGAAAAAAAAAAAAUUCUUUACGAAAUCACGUGGCUAUUUAGUUUCAUGCACAGUUGCAAUAUUUUCUUCAAAAAUAAAACUCUGUACAAACUUUGGGCCCGAUUCAUAAGAAAAAGAAAUUGGCUAUUAACACGGGAUUUUUUUAAGUGUUAACUUUUUGGGGGUCUAAAUUUGAAACUACUGCUUCCCAAAUUAAAUGUUUCAUCUCAUUUUUUUGUUUUGUUUUGUUUUCCCUAAGCCAGCACCCAUCUGCCUUUUAUGCCCCACAGGGUUAUAUAAUCAAAUGAGGGGGAUGGGGAAGUGGGGAGCAGAUACCAGAAAUGCUCAGAAAAUAAGGGGGGACCAUCUGCGCUAGAGCCUAGAUAACGGGGGAGGCAGCAGCAUGAGGGGGCAGGACCUCGCCUGUGUGCGGGCGUCACGAGUUUCCACACGUGGACUCCUGAUGCUAUUUAAUUUAAACACACACACACACACAAUUUCCAAAGUGUGUCUGGACCACAAAAGUAUGUGAUGGAAGCGCCAACUCUAAUCCAACCAGGGCACCUUCAUGGUAGAAAAUACUCCCCAGGCGUGCAGGGUGGAUUUGUGACUUUUCACGGUGGUUUCAAGGACAAAUUGGGCUCUUUUUCCUGCUGUUUUUGUGCUCAGCUUCUCAGACUGACACAAACUUUUUUACCCCCUUUGAAUUUAUUUUGUUAUUCUUAUUUAAAAAUAUUUUUUAGUCAUAGUCUAUAAUUUAGCACUUUAAAAAAAAAAUACAUCUCAAUCGAAGGCUACCUGGCCACUGGCUACUUUGGGAUGGAGAUUGAGAGAGCAGUCCCUUCUCCCUGGUCUCCAGCUGCCUUUCUGCACGACAAAGGCAUUUGAUAGCAUCGCCCGGGAGGUCCUAGCUAGACCUAGAGCUGGAGCUUUAUCAGAUGCCAGGAGGCCCUUCGGAAGGCUUUCAAAGGCCCAUGCAUGAUCCUCCUCCCCUGCAGCCCUGAUCUCUAAGAACCAAGUUCCCCGGGGACUUUUCCCACCACCCUUGGAAAUCCAUCUACUCAAGAUACCUCCAUUGUUUUUGCAUUUCAAAUUGGGGGGGAAGGGGAUUAAACACUCCCAGUGACAAGAGAUCUGUUGUGAAACGAAACACCCCCCGUGUUAAUAAGUUGGUUUGACCUUUGUUUUUUAUGAGCCGGGCCCCCUGUGCCUCUAGGAUACUUGUAUUGACUCUCAUAGUUACCCUUUUAGUUUGACUGUGUUCUGUGAAAAUUUGUAAUUGGUUGAGAAUCACUGUGGGCGUCCAUUCUUAUUCAACUAAAUCUCCACAGGUUUUUUGAGCUGGUGUGGAUUAGUUUAACUCUUGUAUUCAACCAUUAGUGCUACCACCUUCUCACAUUACAAUACAAUUACUGGAAGCAAGUACUGCAUUUCCUAUGCAACAAAAAAGGAAAAAUAAAAAAUUGCUAAUGCU
rnacentral:lncRNA from 1 species